ACUAGAAAUUAGAGUUGUGUUCGGAAUCCCACGAUCUCCUCCCAAUCGACAGUCGGCAAAACAAGGACUAGGAGGCUUUAAAAAGGUAAAAAUAAAAAAUCCCCAGUCCGAAAACAAGAAUAAAAGCAAAGAAAAUUGGCCUAAUCGAAUCCCACACAGUUUCAAAAGAAGCUCAACGCGUCAAGAUCGGGUCUAGGGUUUCCCUCUCUCGCUUCUGAAGCAACUUUACCUCUUCCAAUUUCGCAGAUUUCUCUCAUAAACCCAAUCCAAAGCAAAGCUCGUGAUUCUUUCAUCUCAUUCCAGGCGGGUGGUGACUCUUGUGUGGAAAGGGUGGUGUUGUGAAUCGUUGUUGUUGAAGGAUUGAAUUGGUGGAAGAGCUCAAAUGCCGGAGGAGGACCUGGUGGAGCUCAAGUUCCGAAUCUAUGAUGGAUCUGAUAUUGGUCCUUUCCGUUACUCACCAGCCUCGACUGUUGCAAUGGUCAAGGAGAAAAUUGUCACCGAGUGGCCAAAAG